rnacentral:rRNA from 1 species
UUGCCCCGAGAUGAGUUCUCCCUGACCCUUUAAGGGUCCUGAAGGAACGUUGAAGACGACGACGUUGAUAGGCCGGGUGUGUAAGCGCAGCGAUGCGUUGAGCUAACCGGUACUAAUGAACCGUGAGGCUUAACCUUACAACGCCGAAGCUGUU